UUGCACGCUGGCGGCAUGCUUUACCCCUGCAAGUCGCACGGCAGCGCGGGCUUCGGCCUGGCGGCGAGUGGCGAACGGGUGAGUAAUACAUCGGAACGUGCCCAGUAGUGGGGAUAGCUCGGCGAAAGCCGGAUUAAUACCGCAUACGACCUGAGGGUGAAAGCGGGGGAUCUUCGGACCUCGCGCUAUUGGAGCGGCCGAUGGCAGAUUAGCUAGUUGGUGGGGUAAAGGCCUACCAAGGCGACGAUCUGUAGCUGGUCUGAGAGGACGACCAGCCACACUGGGACUGAGACACGGCCCAGACUCCUACGGGAGGCAGCAGUGGGGAAUUUUGGACAAUGGGCGAAAGCCUGAUCCAGCAAUGCCGCGUGUGUGAUGAAGGCCUUCGGGUUGUAAAGCACUUUUGGCGGGAACGAAAAGGACUGUGCCAAUACCACGGUUCGAUGACGGUACCCGCAGAAUAAGCACCGGCUAACUACGUG
rnacentral:rRNA from 1 species